CAGUCGCCGCGGGAAUACAGAUGGUGCAAGCGUUAAUCGGAAUUACUGGGCGUAAAGCGCGCGUAGUUGGUUUGUUAAGUUGGAUGUGAAAUCCCCGGGCUCAACCUGGGAACUGCAUCCAAAACUGGCAAGCUAGAGUAUGGUAGAUGGUGGUGGAAUUUCCUGUGUAGCGGUGAAAUGCGUAGAUAUAGGAAGGAACACCAGUGGCGAAGGCGACCACCUGGACUGAUACUGACACUUAGGUGCGAAAGCGUGGGGAGCAAACAGGAUUAGAUACCCGAGUAGUCCCUGUCUCUUAUAC
rnacentral:rRNA from 1 species